rnacentral:rRNA from 1 species
UACGUAGGGUGCGAGCGUUGUCCGGAAUUAUUGGGCGUAAAGAGCUCGUAGGCGGUCUGUCGCGUCGGUCGUGAAAAACUUGGGGCUUAACCCUGAGCUUGCGGUCGAUACGGGCAUGACUGGAGUUCGGCAGGGGAGACUGGAAUUCCUGGUGUAGCGGUGAAAUGCGCAGAUAUCAGGAGGAACACCGGUGGCGAAGGCGGGUCUCUGGGCCGAUGACUGACGCUGGGGGAGCGAAAGCGUGGGGAGCGAACGAGGA